UGGUGGCGAGUGGCGAACGGGUGAGUAACGCGUCGGAACGUACCGAGUAAUGGGGGAUAACGCAGCGAAAGCUGUGCUAGUACCGCAUACGCCCUGAGGGGGAGAGUGGGGGAUCGCAAGACCUCACGUUAUUCGAGCGGCCGACGUCUGAUUAGCUUGUUGGUGAGGUAAUGGCUCACCAAGGCGACGAUCAGUAGCGGGUCUGAGAGGAUGAUCCGUCACACUGGAGCUGAGACACGGUCCAGACUCCUACGGGAGGCAGCAGUGGGGAGUUUUGGACAGUGGGGGCAACCCUGAUCCAGCCAUUCCGCGUGAGUGAAGAGGGCCUUCGGGUUGUAAAGCUCUUUCAGCCGGAACGAGACGGUAUUCCUUAGUACGGGAUGCUAGUGACGGUACCGGCAGAAGAAGCACCGGCUAACUACGUGCCAGCAGCCGCGGUAGUACGUAGGGUGCGAGCGUUAAUCGGAAUUACUGGGCGUAAAGCGUGCGCAGGCGGAUUGUUAAGCAAGAUGUGAGGUCCCCGGGCUUAACCUGGGAAUGGCAUUUUGAACUGGCAGUCUAGAGUGUGUCAGAGGGGGGUGGAAUUCCACGUGUAGCAGUGAAAUGCGUAGAUGUGUGGAGGAGCACCAAUGGCGAAGGCAGCCCCCUGGGAUAACACUGACGCUCAUGUACGAAAGCGAGGGUAGCAGACAGGAUUAGAUACCCUGGUAGUCCACGCCCUAAACGAUGUCAACUGGUUGUUGGGGGAGUGAAAUCCCUUAGUAACGAAGCUAACGCGUGAAGUUGACCGCCUGGGGAGUACGGUCGCAAGAUUAAAACUCAAAGGAAUUGACGGGGACCCGCACAAGCGGUGGAUGAUGUGGAUUAGUUCGAUGCAACGCGAAAAACCUUACCUACCCUUGACAUGUCCAGAAUCCUGCAGAGAUGCGGGAGUGCCCGAAAGGGAAUUGGAACACAGGUGCUGCGUGGCUGUCGUCAGCUCGUGUCGUGAGAUGUUGGGUUAAGUCCCGCAACGAGCGCAACCCUUAUCAUUAGUUGCUACGCAAGGGCACUCUAAUGAGACUGCCGGUGACAAACCGGAGGAAGGUGGGGAUGACGUCAAGUCCUCGUGGCCCUUAUGGGUAGGGCUUCACACGUCAUACAAUGGUCGGUACAGAGGGUUGCCAAGCCGCGAGGUGGAGCCAGUCCCAGAGAGCCGAUCGUAGUCCGGAUUGUUCUCUGCAACUCGAGAGCAUGAGGUCGGAAUCGCUAGUAGUCGCGGAUCAGAAUGUCGCGGUGAGUACGUUCCCGGGUCUUGUACACACCGCCCGUCACACCAUGGGAGUGGAAUCUGCCAGAAGUAGGUAGCCUAACCGCAAGGAGGGCGCUUACCACGGUGGGUUUCAUGACUGGGGU
rnacentral:rRNA from 1 species